UCUCAACGCUGAUGUGCCUAUAUAUAUAUAUUUUUGGCAGGGUUGACAUAGUCACAAGUUGAUUCUGAUGUUGUCGAUCCAUCUUUUGAGCCACUAAUACUAGUAGAAGAUUCCACUAUAUAGCUUGUAAGAUCAACCAUCCGGUUCUCGAAGUUGUCUUCUGCACUUGUUGAAGCUGUUAGCUCUCCCUCACUUGGAAGAUUCCUCAGCUAUGUGUCAACUACUAUGGUUGUAAAGCCUGGCCCUGUACUGGACUUCCUUUGUGAGAAUCAGAAUGUGAAGCAUCCAGAUUUUAUUGAUUGGACCAAGGCAAAAAGUGUGCUGAAAAACCUCAGAAUCAAGGUUAAUAAUCUUGAGUUCAAAAUCAGUGGACUCAGUAACAAUACUUGCAGGACUCAGAA